UACAGAGGGGGCAAGCGUUGUUCGGAAUUACUGGGCGUAAAGGGCGCGUAGGCGGCCCGCUAAGUCGAACGUGAAAUCCCCGAGCUCAACUCGGGAACUGCGUCCGAUACUGGUGGGCUUGAAUCCGGGAGAGGGAUGCGGAAUUCCAGGUGUAGCGGUGAAAUGCGUAGAUAUCGAGAGGAACACCUGCGGCGAAGGCGGGUUGCUGGGCUGACACUGACGCUGAGGCGCGAAAGCUAGGGGAGCGAACGGG
rnacentral:rRNA from 1 species